UACGGGGGGAGCAAGCGUUGUUCGGAUUUACUGGGCGUAAAGGGCGCGUAGGCGGUCGUGACAAGUCACUUGUGAAAUCUCCGGGCUUAACUCGGAACGGUCAAGUGAUACUGUCGGACUAGAGUACAGAAGGGGCAACUGGAAUUCUCGGUGUAGCGGUGAAAUGCGUAGAUAUCGAGAGGAACACCUGCGGCGAAGGCGGGUUGCUGGGCAGUUGCUGACACUGAGGCGCGACAGCGUGGGGGAGCAAACAGGG
rnacentral:rRNA from 1 species